rnacentral:rRNA from 1 species
GGAUAUCUCGGCUCUCGCAUCGAUGAAGAGCGCAGCGAAAUGCGAUACGUGGUGCGAAUUGCAGAAUCCCGCGAAC